rnacentral:lncRNA from 1 species
GGAGAGGCGCACAGCGGCGGCGCAGGCGCGGAGAGGCGCACAGCGCAGGCGCUGGCGCGGAGAGGCGCAGGCCCAGGUCCACUCCCCAGCUGUGAAAGGAAUGAAGAUAUAGAGAAACAAGGAAGAAAUUGACCCCGACGAAGAAGAAAGUGCCAAGAAAAAGCAUUUGGAUAAGAAGAGAAAAUUGAAGGAGAUGUUUGAUGCGGAAUAUGAUGAAGGAGAAAGCACAUAUUUUGAUGAUCUUAAAGGAGAAAUGCAGAAAGAAGCACAGCUGAAUCACGUAGAAUUUGAAGAUCAAGAUGAUGAAGCCAGAGUUCAGUAUGAUGGUUUUCGACCUGGGAUGUACGUCCGCGUUGAGAUUGAAAAUGUUCCCUGUGAAUUUGUGCAGAACUUUGACCCCCAUUACCCCAUUAUCCUGGGUGGCUUGGGCAACAGCGAGGGAAAUGUUGGACACGUGCAGAUGCGUCUGAAGAAACAUCGCUGGUAUAAGAAAAUCCUCAAGUCCCAAGAUCCAAUCAUAUUUUCUGUAGGGUGGAGGAGGUUUCAGACCAUCCUGCUCUAUUAUAUUGAAGACCACAAUGGAAGACAAAGGCUUCUAAAGUAUACCCCACAGCACAUGCAUUGUGGAGCAGCCUUUUGGGACCCUAUCACUCCACAGGGAACUGGUUUCUUGGCAAUACAGUCUGUCAGUGGCAUAAUGCCUGAUUUUCGGAUAGCUGCCACAGGAGUUGUCCUUGAUCUGGAUAAAUCCAUAAAAAUUGUGAAGAAAUUAAAGCUAACUGGUUUUCCAUAUAAAAUUUUCAAGAACACUUCAUUUAUUAAGAUAUUGUCUUCAUGCGAACUUGGUAUCCUGUUUCCAUCCCAGCCUUCUAUAACCCAGUAACAUCUUUGUUGAAACCAGUGGGUGAGAAAGACACCUGGUCAGGAAUGUGGACCACGGGCCACCUCGGGCUCGCCCAUGGUGUCAGACUAAAGACAAACAAGGACUCUCUGUAUAAGGUACUGGUCGUGUGUGUGUUAGUGGAGAUGAAGCCUGUGCCCUACAGACAGGGAGUCACGCAGACACUUUUCUAUAAUUUCUUACGUACUUUGAAUGUUCAAGUAUAAAGUCUAAUGUUAAAUUUGAUUGAACAAUUGUAUAUUUGUGGGAUAUUUUGGAAUGGAACACCAAAAAAUGGUAAUAGUGGUUCUUUCUGGAUUGAAGACAAACUUUUCUUUUUUAAAAUAAAUUUUAUUUUAUAUAU